rnacentral:rRNA from 1 species
UACGGGGGGGGCUAGUGUUACUCAUCAUUACUGGGUGUAAAGCGUAUGUAGGUGGUUUAUUAAGUUUAAAUUAUAACAAUCCAAGCAUAACUUGGAAGAUUUUUUUUAUACUGGUAAACUAGAGAUCUGAGGAGGAUAGCUAUAUUUCUGAAGUUUAGGGAUGAAAUCCUUAGAGGUCAGGGGGAUAACCAGCAGGCGAAGGCGGCUUUCCAUAAAGAUUCUGACACUGAAGUUCUUAAGCGUGGGUCGCAAACGGG